UACGGAGGGUGCGAGCGUUGUUCGGAAUCACUGGGCGUAAAGCGCGUGUAGGCGGCCCACUAAGUCUGAUGUGAAAGCCCGGGGCUCACCCCCGGAAGUGCAUUGGAAACUGAUGGACUCGAGUCCCGGAGAGGAGAGUGGAAUUCCUGGUGUAGAGGUGAAAUUCGUAGAUAUUCGGAAGAACACCAGUGGCGAAGGCGGCUCACUGGUCCGGUACUGACGCUGAGGUGCGAAAGCGUGGGGAGCAAACAGG
rnacentral:rRNA from 1 species